rnacentral:rRNA from 1 species
UACAGAGGUCCCAAGCGUUGUUCGGAUUCAUUGGGCGUAAAGGGUGCGUAGGCGGCGCGGUAAGUCGGGUGUGAAAUCUCGGGGCUUAACUCCGAAACUGCAUUCGAUACUGCCGUGCUUGAGGACUGGAGAGGAGACUGGAAUUUACGGUGUAGCGGUGAAAUGCGCAGAUAUCAGGAGGAACACCGGUGGCGAAGGCGGGUCUCUGGGCCGAUACUGACGCUGAGGAGCGAAAGCGUGGGGAGCAAACAGG